GGAGGCAGCAGUGGGGAAUAUUGCACAAUGGGCGCAAGCCUGAUGCAGCCAUGCCGCGUGUAUGAAGAAGGCCUUAGGGUUGUAAAGUACUUUCAGCGGGGAGGAAGGUGAUAAGGUUAAUACCCUUAUCAAUUGACGUUACCCGCAGAAGAAGCACCGGCUAACUCCGUGCCAGCAGCCGCGGUAAUACGGAGGGUGCAAGCGUUAAUCGGAAUUACUGGGCGUAAAGCGCACGCAGGCGGUCAAUUAAGUCAG
rnacentral:rRNA from 1 species